ACAAUCACAACUCUCUCAGCCUUCUUCAUAGGAGAGGUGUUCCAGCUCUGACCAUCUUCAUGGCCUUCCACUGGAUUCACUUUAGCAGGUCCAUGACUUUCUUGGCUGAGAAAUCCAGGCCAGGAUGCAGCACUCCAGUUUUCUUCUAGAAAGAGUUCAGACAAGAACUGAGAACACAGCAAUCCUUAGAGGAGAAGUUCAUUCUGCCAGAUAAGAAGUUGAAGAAGAGGUUGCUGGCCAAUCAGCAGAGCAAAUAUAUUGUAAUUACUCCAGCCCUCAAAGGUAAUGAC